rnacentral:tRNA from 13 species
GGCGGCAUAGCCAAGUGGUAAGGCAGAGGACUGCAAAUCCUUUAUCCCCGGUUCGAAUCCGGGUGCCGCCUCCA